AGAUAAUCAAUUUAAAUGGCACAAACUACCACAUAUGGAGAAACACGAUGAAGGAUCUCUUGUUUGUGAUGAAAUUGCAUUUAUCAAUGUUUACCCUAAAGACAAAACAAUGAUAAAUGAGCAUUUAAGCAUGAGCGAGUGUGUGGCUUCAUCCAACACUAUCGAAGAUAGUGUGUACAUUUAAAUUUGCAAUAAGACUCAUGUUUGGAUGCUAUGGAACAAACUUGAGAAGUUGUAUGCUUGAAACACUAGAAACAACAAAUUAUUUUAUUUCACAAAAUUUAUGCAAGUGAAAUAUUAUGAAGGUACUUUUGUAGCAAAUCACUUGAAUGAAAAGUAACGGAUCAUGAAUCAAUUGUCAAGAAUGGUUAUAAAGUUUGACAAUGAAGUGCUCACUCUUAUGGUGCUUGCUUCUUUACUAAAGUUUUGGGAGACUUUGAAGGUAUCUGCAAUACCCUUCUUGGAAGCUUCUCAGAAUAUCCGUCUAAAGACGGAAUAUUUAACAUAUUU
rnacentral:misc_RNA from 1 species